GAUGAAGAACGCAGCAAAAUGCGAUAAGUAAUGUGAAUUGCAGAAUUCAGUGAAUCAUCGAAUCUUUGAACGCACAUUGCGCCCGCCAGUAUUCUGGCGGGCAUGCCUGUUCGAGCGUCAUUUCAACCCUCAAGCACAGCUUGGUGUUGGGACUCGCGUUAAUUCGCGUUCCCCAAAUUGAUUGGCGGUCACGUCGAGCUUCCAUAGCGUAGUAGUAAAACCCUCGUUACUGGUAAUCGUCGCGGCCACGCCGUUAAACCCCAACUUCUGAAUGUUGACCUCGGAUCAGGUAGGAAUACCCGCUGAACUUAAGCAUAUCAAUAAACGGAGGA
rnacentral:misc_RNA from 1 species